GUUUAGUUCUUAUUGCAUUAAGUACGAGUACGUGUCUAUUGAAUUCGCGGACAAGGUCGCGUGUGAUCGACGCGCCGCCGGAUUUGCGCAUCUAUUGCUUUCUUAUCAUAAACUGUCGCGUUGUUGCUUGCACAGUUUGCAGUCAGUUUCGUGCCGGUUCCUGGUUGGUCCAGGCGUAUUUUUACACGACUCGUGUUGUUUGUCCGGACAUCUACUUGCCAAAUUCGCAUUAUAUUCGAUCAUCAAUUGACUAUAGUAAUUUUAUUUACGGUUUGCGCGUAUAUAGUCCAUAGAUGCCGGUUAAGUGCAUCGCCCACAUGUUGAUUUGAUAUUCAUCAUGAGGAUGACCCAUCGCGCUGGUUAUUUGCCGAUCCUUGGAGUCCAUGAGUUUUGCAUUGCAAUUGCCUUCGAGUUCCGAGUUCCUUCGAGUCACGAGCUAAAUUAGAAUGCGAAUUUCAUUCGCUUCGUCGUUCGACUCCCGAUUUAAAAUAAAAUAAAUAUUGACACCCCUU